ACAAAAUUUUGCCUGGUGCGUUUAUUCUUUUGCUGCCUCAAAUUAAAUCGGACUCCAUUCUCUUCUUGCUUACAUAGUUUCUAUGGAAAAGUCAGAUGGAAUUCCUUUUUUUGGAGGGGGAGGUGGUUUCCAGUACCGGGAACUGAACUCACAACCUUGCCCUUGCCAGGCAGGCGCUAUGCUGCUGAGCUAAAUCCCCAGCUCCUGUCAGAUGGAAUUCUUAUAUUUACUCCUCUACAGGAACAAUGUUCUAUUUUUCAUUAAAUGUACCUGGUUCUCCUAGCUACUAUCAAGAUGGGGAUUUUAUUGUUGGGGGACUCUUUUCCCUAAGAGUGACCAAUGGAGACACAAGAAGCAGAUAUGAAUUUCACCAUACAUAUCCUAUGCCACAGGAUGUACAUGUCGAAGGGUCUGCCUUGAGUCUCAAAGGAGAUUUUGGAUAUCUAAGCAACGCUGAAACUUUGGGGAACAGAAUUAGUACAUUUUUUGGUUGUAUUCAUGAUUGUUAUA